ACACCCAUGGCAGGUGGAAGUUCCCCGGCCAGGAAUUGACCCUGAGCCACAGCAGUGACUCGAGCCACAGCAAUGACAACGCCAGGCCCCCAGUCUGCUGAAACACCAGGGCACUCUCUUGCGUUGUUUUUUCAAUUGGAGUCGCUUACCUGACCCUGCUCAGCCUUAGCAUCAGUAGGGAAGAAGCUAGAUGGAAAGACAUCACCUGCGCCAUGAAGUUGAGAAAGACCAGCGGCCUGUGAUGGACUUGAAUCCAUAUUCCCAGGCUCACUGCCCCAUCUGCAGUUACACAGGACCCAGAAAUAUCAUGCCACAAAGCAUGAGACAACAAAUCACCACAUCACCAUUCUUCGAAAAAUAGACAUAAAAUGUCACCCACGCGUCAUCAGGGUCCCUGCCCCAGGAGGUCUGGGUGGACUUCACCCAUCCCAGCACUAUGGCCCAUGGCUGGCUGGAGCCCUCACUUGAUGUCCGUGCAUCUCUGUCCUCUGGGCCCCUCUGGCCUCACAGGCUGGCCCUGACCGACCCUGAGCCUCAGAACCUGCCUCGCCAGCAGUUUCCCACAGAAACGCCUUCCACAUCAAGUGGUCUGUGCUUUUUUGUUUGCCGUGGGCUAGAGAUGUUGCAUGUCAGAGAAACAGUCGCCCACACGGCACACAAAGAGACCAUCUCCUGAGUGUCCGCACUGCUUCCCCUGCCCCCUCCCCUUCCCCCUGGUGUGGCCAAGCGCUCCCCUCCUGAUUCUGACCCCAGAGUCAGGUCUGUCCUUGGUCCCUUUAAGGUAUUAGCUUCUCCCCGUAGUUAAUGCAUGAAGAAAAUCCCUCCCUCUCUGUCUCUCUCUCCCCCUCUCAUUCUCCAUUAUGGACUUUUGGUGAUUCUGAGUUUCUGUCUCACUUCAUUCAAUACACAGUAGAGCUUAACAGGACUCUUCUUUAGAAAUUGCCUUAAAUAAUUGCCUUAAAUAGGAUUGUUGGGAAACACUGACUAUUUUCAAGUUUCGAUGGGGUCAGGGUCAGGGCUGUCUGAACAGCGUGGUGGCACCUGGAGUGGAAGCCGCUUGGAUAGCCAUGAGCACAGCAGUGCGGGUUGCAAGUUGAAGAUCACGGCCCCUGGCGAGAUGGUCAGCUCUCUUGCCCCUGGAGACAGGUAUUGACGUUCCAAAGGGUAAUGAACCUGAGGACCUUCCUGUUCCCUCUCUUUCUCUCUGGGUUGGGGGUGGGGGGGACGGGGAGCAGAUGGACCCUCAGCUCCUAUAUUAGCUUCAAGAUUCAGUCUUGGAGUCCUUCCCCUGGGGUGCAAGCCGCUAGACAUGCAGAGUCAUCUGGGCCUCACAGCGGUUCCCCGAGGGAAGACGGCCCAUGAGCGACCAGCACGAGGAUGGCUGGGUCAGUAAGUCAACCUUGGAUCCAGAAAGCAUGUGUUUCCUCUCAGGACAAGUAAGACGUCUGGAUAUAAAAACACACAAUGUGGCACGAGGAUAUCCACUUUUUUGCAAUUUGAUAGAAAACGGAUCUCCAAAUUUUGAACUGCAUUGUUUCUUUGGAAACUGUUGACUGAAAGAAUAUGCACAACCUAAAAGUUGAGAGUUAAGUUUUAUUUGGAGCAAAAUGAGGACUUAAGCCCUAGGCGGCAGCAUCUCAAGUAACCCUGAGAAAAGCGCUCCAAGGAAGCGAGGUGGGAGCUGGGAUAUACAGGACAAAGAGCAAGUAGGAACAAAAGACCACUGUUAAUAACAGGAAACCCAGGAGUUCCCGUCGUGGCGCAGUGGAAACAAAUCCAACUAGGAACCAUGAGGUUUCGGGUUCGAUCCCUGGUCUUACUCAAUGGGUUAAGGAUCUGGUGUUGCCAUGAGCUGGAAUGUAGGCUGCAGACGCAGCUCAGAUCCUGUGUUGCUGUGGCUGUGGUAUAGGCUGGCAACUGUAGCUCCAAUUUGACCCCUACCUGGGGAAGAGAGGUUCGUGAAGAAAAAUCAGGGCAGAAACCAUCAAGAUCUCUGACAAUAUAUUUUCUGGUGAGGCGUCGGGUAUUUCAUUAAAUCUAAGAUACUAACAAUUAUAAGAGGAAUCAUCAUUUUAGGGACCACUAAGAAAAACAGAAACAAGCUGCCAAUUAAACUAUGACAAAAUGCCUUCUAGGACCUCAGAAUUUCCAUUUAGGCUUAUUUAGAUUUAGAUGUUUAUGCUAUAGGGACACGUUGUGGUGCGUAUUUACAGUCUAACACAUGUGGAUGUCUUUCCAGUUUAGUCUCAUCGAUGUUCGUGCUGCUGACACAGCAAUUUUUUUCUUUUUCUUUUAAAAAAUGCUUGGAUGGUCCUUUCCAUUCAGCAGUUUAAUACUGGAACUUUCUGGAUUUCUCUAGAAGGUGUCAAUGACAGGCUGGCAAGCAACAACCGGGAAUUGAGUUUCUUUUGGUGUUACCUGGACUUUUAGGUUAACUAAAGCAGCCCAUUUGUGGCCUCUCAAACAUACAUUGUACACCUGCUUUAAUCAUUAAAGAAAAUGGUGCAUUGACCAGAAGUGAAGAAUGUCCACCUUAAAAAUAAAGAUGAAAUCCCACCCUUCCUGGGACAGCAAGGCUGGUGCUUCUUCGAUGAUAAGAGUCCUUUCCUGGGUGUCAAAGCCAUACUGAUUGGCUACUAGCUGUCUUUAAAACAAACACAUAAAAAACCCCAAAACGGGAAGGAAUGUAUCCAUGAUUUCUUUAGUGUUCCUCCUCUAACGAGGUAUAAAACCAGCGAAAACCAUGCUUCUCCAGAGCAGUUCCUUAGAGUUCUUGGAGAGGUUUCCCCGGGGAGAGUCAGUCCUCAGUCUGGCUCAGAUAAAACUCUUUUCUAUUCCUAUUAUAGGUGGUUCAUUAAUUAUUUCUGUCGACAAUGCCCUGAAAUCGCCAAAUGCAGGGCCGCAAGGACCCACCACUAGAGCAGGAUGGCAGCCAGUCGGUGCACCAAGCACAGCAACCGCACUGGGUCCUCGCGGGGAGCCAGCUCCACGCAGGCUCCUAGCCACCCCGAGGCAGAAGUGGGGACGGCCAGGAAAGGGAGCCGGCACCCACCCGGGGACAAGAGACUUCUGGUCGGGGGAGGCCGGGCAGCACUUGGAGGGGAAAACCCUACCUGUGAUUGUUCCAGGCCCCCUCCCUAACCCUCUCAGUGACCCACGCUGAGCUGAGCAGGUACGCAGGGACUGGUGAAUUCAUUCCUUUCACACAGAGGGCCCAAGCAGUGAUUGAAUCGCUGGAAAUUCAGCAGUGAACCCAGCAUGAGCGUCCCCCAGAAUGUGGACUACCUUCUCACAGGGGCCACAGACGGGGGAGCAGAUCCUGAGUCAGUGGGCGGUGAAUAUCUGGAAGUUUCUAGAAGCAGGUGGGGGCGGGAGGGAUUGGGGAAAGAUGAGGGUGGCUGCUGCUGAAAUGAAUUGGCAGGAUAAUGCGCCCCAAUUGCUGGGAGUCCAUCCUCCAUGCUCAUUAAAAUCCACACCUUCCUAUUUUAUCUGAGACUGAGGAUUUCAAAACACACACACACACACGCACACACACGUGAACACACACGGGAUCUCUGGAAGCCACCACCUCAAAGCCCUGCCAGGAGCAAACACUCCCUGGUGAGCAUUCAAAAGCAGGCGAUCAAGACAUACAAGAGAUGCAGGAGUUACAGGGAAGGCGCAGUUCUGAUGAGUUAGAACCAGUGUCCCCUGAGACGUGGACUUGCUCCAAGGAGCAGGACAGAAUGACCUCCAGAGUGUUUUUUAAUACGCAAUGUUUAUUCUCACUGCAAUGGCAGAGACAAGGCAGUCCUGGAAAGAGAACAGCAUCCAGAGGUCAGCGAAAAUUGCCCGCAGUGGAAAAGCUAUUACCAAAUUUUAAAACACAAUAAAAGAGUUUAAUAAGGUGUCCGGUUUACAAAAUAAAUCCAUAAAAAUCGAUGGCUUUCGUUUUACACCAAUAAUAACCUGGCAGAAAGUGUAAUGGGAGGAAAAUUCCACAUGCAGUCAUGACAAUAAAUAUGAAAUACCCAGGAAUAAUUGCCCUGAGGUGUGCUGAAGUCCACGGUGAGCGCUUUAAAAUUUACUUGCCAAGAAGACACACAUAUCAUGUUCUUCAGAGGGAGCAGAGGAUAUGUAGUUUGAAUCUUCCGUGCUGUGAUUCUCAUUACCCUGGGAUUAAUUUGCUCUGGCAUCUGCAUUCUCCACGAUGCUGUGAACUCCAAGAUGCUGUGUCACCUCCUGCUGUGUUUUAGUACAUGUCCAGGUUCCUGGAUCAUAGCAGGUGCUCAGUAAAUACUGGCUGGCUUAGUGAGUCGAAAUGGAGAGGACCACACAUCCAGGCUGUUUUAAAGGAACCACCAGAGGAUCCAAGAUUGAGCCCUAAAGCCCGAAAGAAUGGCUCCAAACCACAAUGGUUUUAGACAAUUAGAAAUUUAUUUCUUUCACUGUAGUAUUCCCGGAACCUUGGCAAAGAGGGUAGCGAUCAGCCUCUUAGGCAUUAUCCCAGCCUGGGGUGAAAGGGACAAAGGACCCACCCCACAAAAGCAGCCGUUCUCGCGGCCCCAUGAAGCAGUAAGAGCUAGAAGUCCCCCUCAGACUCCUCUGUACUGGGGGCCAAUGAGGCUCCUUGGAAUGUUCCAGAGACUUCCUUGGGGAACAGGAAGUGCCUUCAAGGCUUUCGAGUGGCAGUGGAAGGAAACCAUUGUUAUUGGAAACAAAAUCUAACCUGGUAACUGCAGCCCUGUCUUCUUAGAAGCUGAGGACCAAAACACAAUCCAAACAGCAGUGGAACAAAAUCUCUAGGCCCUCUCCUUCUUGAAGGCCUUGAUGAGGAAGAGAGAAGGAGCAACUCUUCAGGCGGACGCCCCACUGCGUAGGGAGGAUCCUGAUGAAUUUCUGGUCUGCGGAGAGGCUCAGCGUCUAGUCUGGGAGUGAAAAACUGGAAAGCACAACUGUUCUGUAUAUUAAAAGGGAGGAAGAUUUGAGGGUUUACUGAAAACAGGGGGCGCACUGGAGCAGAGGAGAAAGGAGAGAGCAAACUGGUGGAAGAAUCAGGAGCCCAGGCUGGUGACAAUGGUCAGAGACUUUAGGAACCAGAAGUCCCAUGGCUCACCUAAGCCAGGCACAGAAACAGAUGGUUCUCAACAUCCAGGAAAGUUGCUGAGCUCCAUGCCUGGAUCUGCAAAAAGGAUAGGAUGCUGCCGAGGGAGGGAAGAGCCAGAGGAGGUCUGAGUUCUGCCAAAGGUCAAACACGAGGUGCAGAAUCCACAGGGAGACUCAGGGCGAGGGUUUGAGAAGACAGCCCUCAAAGGAUUCCUCGGUGUGACUUGCAGGGAAGUUCCAAGAAAGCUCCCCUGAUCCAAAGCCACCCCAACGGCAGGUCUGAUGCCCAUGCAGAAGGUGAUAAACACUCUUGCCCAUCCUGCCCAGAGCAGACCACUCACAGAGCUCAAGCCUGGAAGGACUUUUGCAAGAGCCCAAUUCCUUUCCAACCUCAAGCUUGUCCAUAAAUGACCAUGAGAUCAGGGGAGUGGAAAUAUAGCAAGUGAGGACUGAUGAAAAGAACUGGGGGUGUUUGGACUAAAACAAGAAGGCCUGGGAGGACGAGAGAACCAUCUCCAAACCAGGAUGGGAAUGGGCUUAUCAUCUAUUAUGAUUCUGGAGGGCGAAACUGAAGUCAGAAGAUAGAAGCAGCAGGAAAAAAUAACUUGGCUCAAGGCAAGGGGGGCGUUCUUGCCGCUUGAGAAAGUGAAAGUGACUUCCUAUGAACAGUGAGAGAAGGGGCAGAGGAGGUGAGAGCCUGACCUCCGGUGCUUGGUGCGGAGUGGUGGGGCACAGUGUCCAAGCUGAAAUGGGGUGAGAUUCUUGGAUGGGAUGCCCUGAUUCUAACCCCCCGCUAAGAUCCCAGCAAUAACACCACCUGCAGAGCCCACCAUGGGAAACGGAGCUGCUCACAGGGCAGGAGGUGGCUCCCUGAAGCUGUGGUGACCCAACACUUUGGGGAUUAUUUCCAGAGUAAGCAUGAGUGUCUGUGAGUGCACGUGGGGACAGCAGGACAGACCCUCAGCAAGGUCUUGCAAUGACCUUCUCAAGUGGGCCUUCCCUGAGCAGAGGGGUUUCCAGAACAUCUCCUUGCCUGAGUCACUGACUUAAAGGCAGAGAAUUGGGGAA
rnacentral:lncRNA from 1 species